UGUUUAUUUCAAUGAACUUGCCUUUCAAACGAAAUUUUAUCAUGCUUGGCCAGGCCGAGCCAACCAUUUGGCAUUCGCCCCAAAAAGCAUCACAACAGUAAACCGAAUGCGUGAACAGAGCACAUUUGAAUGAAAUUUGCUUAUGCCUGCGCCUCAUAUUCUCUUCUCUACUCCACCUUACUCCUCGCAGACAUCCAAUCCCUGUGGCUAACGAGCUGGCUCAGCUCUGGGAGGACCAGCGGGAGGACCAAGCGGAGCACCGGCAAAGGACUUGGAAUUGGAAUCGGAAUCGGAAUCGGAGGCGGAGGCCACGAGAAGCGCGCAGUCAACGUUUACACGCUCCAGCAGCCGCAUAAGUUUCCGCUUCAGUUGGACGUGCACGGCGGCGGUAAUUGUAGCUUUGAUUGCCACCAGGAGCUGGACAGGAUCCGUCAUCCCGGCCUCCCAGCACCCCGCCAGCAGUCAACACCUUCCUCGGCACGGGCCGGGGAAAUCUACGAAACCAAAUUUAUUGAAUGCUCAAUGGCCCAAACGAUGGACGACAUGGUCUUCCAGUGCAGCAAUCAAAACUCGAUCUAUGUGCUGAAUGCCAGUUACGGUUCCUAUGGGGACUAUGGCACAUAUGCGGCAACAAAGCGUGAAAUAAAUGGCAGCCGGAGCAGAGCGGCAAAUCCAAUUGGGGCAACUUGCUCGAGUGGCGUCCUGCAGCAUAAAUUCAAAACUUUCGGCAGUCGCGCAGCAACAACAGCAGCACCAGAUUUGGACGCAGCAGCGGGAUGCGCAGCAAACUACGUAAAUCCUGUCGCUACAUCAAUGUCAACCGCAAUGUGUUCACCGGCAACGGCGGCCCUGCAAAAACUGUUCAAUUGCAGCGUCGGCGUCGCCUGCCAAAAUGUCACCCACGCCCACAGCAACCACAGCAGCAGCAGCAACAUCAGCAGCAGCAGGAGCAGCAGCAGCAGCAGCCACAUCCACAUCAGUGGCAGCAACAACAAUGCCGCCGCCAGCAACCAUAACAAUAGCUGCCUGUCGGCGGCAGGCGGAGUGGGUCUCCAAAGCGCCCGGAAUCGGAGCCGGAGUGGCGGCGAAUGCCUCGAUGGCGCAGCGGGAGUGGUUACCUCGCCAGGCGGAGGAGGAGGAGCAGGUGGCCUUCCUCUGCUCCCGAAGAAGAAAUGCACCACUGUCAAAUCAGCGCUUAUUGCCAAGAAGACAAAGUUUCUCAAAUAUCUCGAAGAAGAAAAAUGGCGCAGCAACGCGGCAGUUCCGGAAGAUGCUGGUGCCAUCAGCAAUGAGGCGGAGCCACCCACUCCGGGCGGCAACAACAACGGCGGGAACUUGAAAAAUCAGAGCAACAGUCGGGAGGCUGGAGCUGGAAAUGGCAGUGGCAGUGGCACUGGCACUGGAGGUGGCAGUGGAAGUGGGGGCCAGCUGAACAAACCGACCAACUGGAGCAUGCAUAAUGAGGACACCAGCACGCCGCUGGCCAGCCACCAACUACAACAGCAGGUGAAAUCGAGUUUCGAGCUCUACCAGGAGGCAGCCGACAUUUUGGGCCUGAGUUGCAGCCUCUGUGAUAAUUGCCGAUGCCUGGACUGCCAGAGCGGUUACUUCGACUGCGACGACGACGAUGAGAGCUACUCGGAGCAAUCGCUGAUGGACGACGAGUACGACGAGUUCGACUGCGGUGCGGAGGAGCUGCAGGCGGCGAUGACAGCAGCCCGGCACCAGGAUGUGCCCCGCACGCCCUGCUGCCCCCUGGGUGCGAGUUCCCACCUGCCGCACAAGGAGGACUCCCAACCGGCCGCACACACGCCCCCGCAAUCGGAAUCCCUGGGCCAUCGGGUGGCCAUCGAUUUUGAUUUAAUUAACGCCACUUGCAGCCAGGUGCUGCAAAACUGUGAAACAUUCAACGAUUUGAGUCUGCUAGACGCCGCCGCCGGAUCCGGAGCCGAGCGUCCUUUCACGUAAAUCCAGGUGACGAGCUGGAAGGCGGCGGAGAGUGGGAUAUCCCCCAAUCAGGAGUCCGCACACUGCAGCUAAUUAAAGUUUAACAUCGGUCAGGUUGGAGCCCAUUAAUUGCAACUGACACCUUCCACAGUGGCUGCCAAUUUUCGAUGCAAAUAG
rnacentral:misc_RNA from 1 species